UACAGAGGGUGCAAGCGUUGUUCGGAAUUACUGGGCGUAAAGCGCGCGCAGGCGGUCUUCCAAGUCAGUGGUGAAAGCCUGGAGCUCAACUCCAGAACUGCCAUUGAAACUGUUAGACUUGAGUACGAGAGAGGUGAGUGGAAUUCCCAGUGUAGAGGUGAAAUUCGUAGAUAUUGGGAAGAACACCAGUGGCGAAGGCGGCUCACUGGCUCGUAACUGACGCUCAGGCGCGACAGCGUGGGGAUCAAACAGG
rnacentral:rRNA from 1 species